rnacentral:rRNA from 1 species
AUUGAACGCUGGCGGCAGGCCUAACACAUGCAAGUCGAACGAGUGGCGGACGGGUGAGUAAUGUCUGGGAAACUGCCUGAUGGAGGGGGAUAACUACUGGAAACGGUAGCUACUACCGCAUACCCUCAGAUGUGCCCAGAUGGGAUUAGCUUGUUGGUGGGGUAACGGCUCACCAAGGCGACGAUCCCUAGCUGGUCUGAGAGGAUGACCAGCCACACUGGAACUGAGACACGGUCCAGACUCCUACGGGAGGCAGCAGUGGGGAAUAUUGGACAAUGGGCGAAAGCCUGAUCCAGCCAUGCCGCGUGUGUGAAGAAGGUCUUCGGAUUGUAAAGUACUUUAAGUUGGGAGGCGUUACCAGCAGAAGAAGCACCGGCUAACUCCGUGCCAGCCGCCGCGGUAAUAC